rnacentral:rRNA from 2 species
UCAAGACUAAGCCAUGCAUGUCUAAGUAUAAACGCUUCUAUACUGUGAAACUGCGAAUGGCUCAUUAAAUCAGUUAUAGUUUAUUUGAUGGUUUCUUACUACUUGGAUAACCGUGGUAAUUCUAGAGCUAAUACAUGCACAAAGUCCCGACUGUUCGGAAGGGAUGUAUUUAUUAGAUCCAAAACCAAUGCGAGUCUUUCGGGGCUCGGUUUCUUGGUGAUUCAUGAUAACUGCUCGAACCGUAUGGCCUUUGCGCCGACGGUGCUUCAUUCAAAUUUCUGCCCUAUCAACUUUCGAUGGUACGGUAGUGGCCUACCAUGGUUGCAACGGGUGACGGAGAAUUAGGGUUCGAUUCCGGAGAGGGAGCCUGAGAAACGGCUACCACAUCCAAGGAAGGCAGCAGGCGCGCAAAUUACCCAAUCCCGACUCGGGGAGGUAGUGACAAUAAAUAACAAUGCCGGGCUAUUGUAGUCUGGCAAUUGGAAUGAGUACAAUCUAAAUCCCUUAACGAGGAACAAUUGGAGGGCAAGUCUGGUGCCAGCAGCCGCGGUAAUUCCAGCUCCAAUAGCGUAUAUUAAAGUUGUUGCAGUUAAAAAGCUCGUAGUUGGAUUUCGGGGUGGCCUGGCUGGUCCACCGCAAGGUGAGUACUGGUCAGCCGCCCUUCCUCUCGAAAGCCCCGACUGCUCUUCAUUGUAGUGGUCGGGUAGUUCGGGACGUUUACUUUGAAAAAAUUAGAGUGUUCAAGGCAGGCUAUCGCCUGAAUACAUUAGCAUGGAAUAAUGGAAGAGGACCUCGGUCCUAUUUUGUUGGUUUCUAGGGCCGAAGUAAUGAUUAAGAGGGACAGUUGGGGGCAUUCGUAUUUAAUUGUCAGAGGUGAAAUUCUUGGAUUUAUGAAAGACGAACUAGUGCGAAAGCAUUUGCCAAGGAUGUUUUCAUUAAUCAAGAACGAAAGUUAGGGGU